GCGGAAGGAUCAUUGUCGAAGCCUAUAAGAAUAAAACGACCGGUGAACAUGUAAAAACAACUAGGCGUCAUAGGGAUCGAACUUGUUCGUGACCUAUGGCUUUUCGUUAAUUUGUCUCUAUGGUUGCCUCUUACGAGCAUCCAUGAUGGCAGGUUGACGCAACAACAAACCCCGGCACGGUAUGUGCCAAGGAUAAGUUAAUUGUAGGAAUACCUUGUGCCAUGUAGCCCCGUUUGUGGUGUUUGCAUGGGAUUUGGAUUCUUUAUGACCACAAUGACUCUCGGCAACGGAUAUCUCGGCUCACGCAUCGAUGAAGAACGUAGCAAAAUGCGAUACUUGGUGUGAAUUGCAGAAUCCCGUGAACCAUCGAGUUUUUGAACGCAAGUUGCGCCCGAAGCCAUCUGGUUAAGGGCACAUCUGCCUGGGCGUCACGUAUCGUUUCGCUCCUAACCAUGUCUCGUUAAAGAGAUGUGUGGGAUAGGGGCGGAUACUGGUCUCCCGUGCCCGUGGUGUGGUUGGCCGAAAUUACGAGUCUCCUUUUGAUGGACACAUUACAAGUGGUGGUUGACUCGACCUUAGUCUCGUGUUUGUGUCUGUCGAUGAAUUGGAAGACCUUGAAAUGUUACCCUAACGUGUCGUCUUGUGUCGGUGCUUCGAACGCGACCCCAGGUCAGGUGGGACUACCCCCUGAGUUUAAGCAUAUCAAUAAGCGGAGGAA
rnacentral:rRNA from 1 species